CCUACGGGUGGCAGCAGUGGGGAAUAUUGCACAAUGGGGGAAACCCUGAUGCAGCGACGCCGCGUGAGCGAAGAAGUAUUUCGGUAUGUAAAGCUCUAUCAGCAGGGAAGAAAAUGACGGUACCUGAGUAAGAAGCUCCGGCUAAAUACGUGCCAGCAGCCGCGGUAAUACGUAGGUGGCAAGCGUUGUCCGGAUUUACUGGGUGUAAAGGGCGUGUAGCCGGGCUGACAAGUCAGAUGUGAAAUCCCGUGGCUCAACCACGGAACUGCAUUUGAAACUGUCGGUCUUGAGUAUCGGAGAGGCAGGCGGAAUUCCUAGUGUAGCGGUGAAAUGCGUAGAUAUUAGGAAGAACACCGGAGGCGAAGGCGGUUUACUGGACUGCAACUGACACUGAGGCUCGAAAGCGUGGGGAGCAAACAGGAUUAGAUACCCCUGUAGUC
rnacentral:rRNA from 1 species